UAUCCUCUCUCACCAGAGAGACUGUCAAUUACCACAGGGAGCGGUUCACCAACACUUUCUCAUAUGAGAGAGAAAUAAAAACCCCUCAGAGAUAACAGUAGAAUGAAUUUUUCAUUCUUUUCACUUGUUUAUUUCAUGUUCACAAUAAAUUUCAUAUUCUUUUCAUAUGCAUAUUACAUGUUCAAUGUAACCGUUUCUGAAAUAGAUAAGGAUUCCAUAACUUAUCCGACCUGAAGGCUCAUAUUUGGCCUGAAGGCCCAUAUUCGACCUAAAGGCUCCUAUCC
rnacentral:lncRNA from 1 species